rnacentral:rRNA from 1 species
UACGUAGGGUGCAAGCGUUAAUCGGAAUUAUUGGGCGUAAAGGAUGCGUAGAUGGUGUAGUAAGUUAUCGGUGGUAAAUCGAGGCUCAGCCUCGUGGAAGUCGGUAAUACUGCUAUGCUAGAGGAUAGGAGAGGUUAACGGAACUCCCUGUGGAGCGGUGAAAUGCGUAGAUAUAGGGAAGAACACCAAUAAGGCGAAGGCAGUUAACUAUUCUAUUCCUGACAUUGAGGCAUGAAAGCGUGGGGAGCAAAACGG